UACGUAGGGCGCAAGCGUUGUCCGGAAUUAUUGGGCGUAAGGAGCUCGUAGGCGGCUUGUCACGUCGGAUGUGAAAGCCCGGGGCUUAACCCCGGGUCUGCAUUCGAUACGGGCAGGCUAGAGUGUGGUAGGGGAGAUCGGAAUUCCUGGUGUAGCGGUGAAAUGCGCAGAUAUCAGGAGGAACACCGGUGGCGAAGGCGGAUCUCUGGGCCAUUACUGACGCUGAGGAGCGAAAGCGUGGGGAGCGAACAGG
rnacentral:rRNA from 1 species